rnacentral:rRNA from 1 species
AUUGAACGCUGGCGGCAGGCUUAACACAUGCAAGUCGAACGAGUGGCGGACGGGUGAGUAAUGCUUGGGAAUCUAGCUAAUGGAGGGGGAUAACUACGGGACACUGUAGCUAAUACCGCGUACCAUAGGAUGAGCCCAAGUGGGAUUAGGUAGUUGGUGUGGUAAAGGCUCACCAGGCCGACGAUCGCUAGCUGGUCUGAGAGGAUGACCAGCCACACGGGGACUGGGCCACGGCCCAGACUCCGACGGGAGGCAGCAGUGGUGCAUAGUGGGCAAUGGGGGCAACCUGACGCAGCCAUGCCGCGUGAAUGAAGAAGGCCUUCGGGUUGUAAGGUUCUUUAGGUAGGGAAGCGUGAACUACAGAAGAAGCACCGGCUAACUCCGUGCCAGCAGCCGCGGUAAUUC